rnacentral:rRNA from 1 species
CGUUAAGCAUCCCGCCUGGGGAGUACGGCCGCAAGGCUAAAACUCAAAGAAAUUGACGGGGGCCCGCACAAGCGGCGGAGCAUGCGGAUUAAUUCGAUGCAACGCGAAGAACCUUACCUGGGCUUGACAUGUUCCCGACGAUCCCAGAGAUGGGGUUUCCCUUCGGGGCGGGUUCACAGGUGGUGCAUGGUCGUCGUCAGCUCGUGUCGUGAGAUGUUGGGUUAAGUCCCGCAACGAGCGCAACCCUCGCCCCGUGUUGCCAGCGGAUUAUGCCGGGAACUCACGGGGGACCGCCGGGGUUAACUCGGAGGAAGGUGGGGAUGACGUCAGAUCAUCAUGCCCCUUACGUCCAGGGCUUCACGCAUGCUACAAUGGCCGGUACAACGGGAUGCGACAGUGCGAGCUGGAGCGGAUCCCUGAAAACCGGUCUCAGUUCGGAUCGCAGUCUGCAACUCGACUGCGUGAAGGCGGAGUCGCUAGUAAUCGCGAAUCAGCAACGUCGCGGUGAAUGCGUUCCCGGGCCUUGUACACACCGCCCGUCAAGUCAUGAAAGUGGGCAGCACCCGAAGCCGGUGGCCUAACCCCUUGCGGGAGGGAGCCGUCUAAGGUGAGGCUCGUGAUUGGGACUAAGUCGUAACAAGGUAGCCGUACCGGAAGGUGCGGCUG